GGCUUCCCAUGUAUUGUAUUUGUCCCUUAUCAAGCUACUACGAAUGAAGCUGUCACCUGUCAGCAAUAAAAAAAGGUGUGCCUUUUACAUUGCGCGGCACAAUUUAGUAGCUCCAAAAAAUGAGCGUCGCCUGGAUGCUCCUAAUCGCUAUUUCUUCUUCUUCUUCUUCUUCUUCUUCAAUCUUCUUUAUAAACAGUCACUUCGUGUCUCUCUCGAUUCAAAUCUAGGGUUUUGUUUUGCUUCUUCACAAUUUUUUUCCUCAAUUUCACCAAUCGAAUAUAUACUCGGAUCCAAUACAUCCACUUUUCAUUUCCACAAAUUUCACUUCAAAAUUCAGAAAAAUCUCUCUCUCUCUCUCUCUCUCUC
rnacentral:misc_RNA from 1 species